CUAAAGUUUUAUUUUAGCUAGGAUAAUUAAUUGAUUAAAUUUUUUCAUGUAAAUUAUAGUGAUUAUUUCAUUAUUUUUAAAGAGAAUAAUACGUACAAAUUAAUCGCAGUUUUUAAUAUUUUAAACAUAAGGAAUUAAGAUAAAAAUAUUAAUUUUAAUAUAAACUAAAUUUGUGCCAGCAGUUGCGGUUAUACAAAUUAUAUAAUUAAUUAUUAUUAGUAGAUAGUUAAUUGAAUAUUAUAAAAAUUUAUUUAAAAUUUAUUAAGUGAAAUUUUAAAUUUUAAGCUAUUUUUUUUUUUAAUUAUGAAACUAUUAAAUUUUAUAUUAAACUAGGAUUAGAUACCCUAUUAUUUUAAAUGUAAAUUUAUUACUAUAUUAGUAUUAGUUAUGAUCUUGAAAAUUAAAAAAUUUGGCGGUAUUUUAGUCUCUUCAGAGGAACCUGUUCUAUAAUCGAUAAUCCACGAUUUAUAUUACUUUUUUUAAUAGUUUAUAUAUCGUCGUAGGUUGAAUAUUUUAAAAGAAUUUAAAUAUUCAUAAUUUAUUAUUAUAAAUUAAAUCAGAUCAAGGUAUAGCUUAUAAAAAAGAAGAAAUGGGUUACAAUAAUAUUAGUUAUAAGGAUAAAAUAUUUAAUUAAUAAAUUUGAAUGUGGAUUUGAUAGUAAUAUAAUUAAAUUAAAUUAUAUGAUUUAGCUCUAAAAUAUGCACAUAUCGCCCGUCACUCUCAUAUAAGAUGAGAUAAGUCGUAACAAAGUAGAUGUACUGGAAAGUGUAUCUAGAAUGA
rnacentral:ncRNA from 1 species